rnacentral:tmRNA from 1 species
AUAGCAUCUGGAUUUUUCAGAAAGAGACACUUUUCUGAUCCUGCUGUUUGCUCCAUUGGUAAUUGUGGAAAGUUGGAUACUACAGACGAGAUACCAGUGGCGCUCAUCAUCACUCCUGUUAGGAUUCCAUCUACUGUGCUGCACGAGUACCUCAAGAAAGCAAUUGAUUUUUGGAAUCAGUGUGCUGAGGCAAACUUUGACCAUAUCCCAUGGGGGCAGCUUUCGGAUGUUGCAAGAAAACCCAUAACCCCCUAAAAGAUGUAAGGGGACAACUCAUUGACCUGACAAAGGACUUUGAACUAAUUUCUGAAAACACUGGACUUUUGGUUGAAGACCCCUCUGUUGGUGAGGGGCAUUUAGAGCUUAAACCCAAACCUUAUGGGUCAGACACUGACAGUGAUACAGACAUUGAAUAUGAACGAGGCAAACACGCUUAAUUUGCUUUAAUUACUUUAAUAAAAUGUUUAUAGUUCAUCUUCUGAUUCUGUCUCCAAGUCUGUAUAUUUUGCUCUGGGGGGUUGUGGGAUAGACUGGAAAGGUUGUGCUUCCAUGGCGCCGCUAAUACCCAAUUUCUUAUAAGUCACCUUGGUGCUGGUCUGUGAUCUGAGUCUGAUGAUUCUCACAACAAUUAUUAUUAGACAUAUUAUGGGAAUUAUUGUCAUAUUAAUAGUAAUUGGUUUGUGAAGCCGCGAGGUGACAAAGAUGGCAUCAUAUCUGAUAACAGGGAGAAGCAUAAUAACAUAUGCCACAAAAAGCCCAAUGUAAAAUCCAACAUGAUGUCUUAGGUACUUGGCCAGGAACACUUCUGCCCCGAUAUGCCACACCAGAGAUAUGAUGAGGAAUAGGUUGACAGCACCAAACACUGCAUCUGAUACCAGGAUGUAAAAAGAAUUACAAACUGCCAUCAUGACACUCAGUGAGAACACCAGCAUUUCCAGAGCCAGUAGGGACAUUUGAAUGUUGGCCAAAAUUGGUCUGUAGAACAACACCAGUUUUUCUAGAGAGCUGCCUUCAGGUAUUUUCUGUUCCAUAUCAUUUGCUUGCCACUGGGGCACAUACCUAGAUAUAAACACGUGUACAUGGACAUAUGACAGCAUGAAAUGAAACAGGUAAACAAAGGCUGCUAGAAAUAUCUGCUUAAAGCUCAAAACAUGCACAAACAGCUGAAGUGUCCAUAGUCUGGCGAUGGACAGGUAAAGUGUUGAGUGUCCCCCAAUAAGAGUGAGCCACACUUGUAUGGCAUUCAGGGAGGGCAUGAAGAUUUUCUUCAGACGGUACACUGUUACUGCGCCAAAAAUAAAAUAAAUUAUAUUAAUAGCUUCUGUUAGGAAUGACCAUACUAUGUACACAAACAUUUCUGGCCCUUCUAGAAACAGUGUGGGUGUUAAGUGCUUUGCAGAAUUUCUCACUGUUAGGUUCAAAGUGCUAUAAUCCACCAGGUUGACAAAAUAACAUGGGAAUCCAACCCCCCUGAAAGAGGCCAGUAUGGGAACAGUUGAACUUGUCACAAACAGUAGUGUGAGAAGAGCUAGGAGGUUGGUCCAUGACUUCAACAGGAAGGAGUCACUCCUAGACGGCUCCAACUUUUUUAGCUGUGGCACUUUAAGGGCAGGCAUUUGAAAAUAGACUAGCCACACCUCCCACGCAGUCCUAUAUUCAGUAGCCGGUAUUGUAGGUGCUUUUUAAUAAUCGUGCUUCUGCCGCUGGUAAAAUGUGCAGACUUCAAUGGCACGAUGUUCAGGUCUUGAAUGUCAGCCUUUAUAAUAUUUCAAUGCCACAUAAAACUGGUAUAUGGGUAAUCACUGCCCUCAAAACGGCUACCUGGGAUUUGUGUGCGUUUUUCAGAUUGGAACAACUUUCAGAGACUGUACCACACAUUCCAGGAGAAAUGGACCCUCGUCCAAUGUCUCCGUUUAUGCACAAUGAAAAUAUCUGCCUUUUUGAUUUGUUAAUGAGAUAUCAGUCACCAUUACUGAGGAAGCUCAUUAACCUUGGAAGAAUGAAAUUGGGUACUUCUGGCAAGGAGAUACUGGCUGUAGAAGAAGUUGAAACUGCCCUGACUCAUCAGCUCACAGGAGGUUAUUUGAUGUGUUUUGGUACUACCAUUAGACAAGAGGACGACCGUGGGAAGCUUACAUCAUGGAAAGAACACUUACUUAAGGAUUUCAACCUCUGUCAGCCUCAGGUUUAUUUGAAGACCUGUCGGGGCGUCUAUGUAUAUGAUUCCCGAGACAUACCAGCCAAGAAGGGGAGGUUGGACAGUCUGACCAUAGAAGAUAUUUUCAGCCCUGUUGAUACCAUUUUACACGUUGCCGGCAGCCCCAUUACAGUAAGAACUUUUGAAACACCAUUUCAUAUUUUAUGGAUAGAUAAAGACAGUGUAUGGAACGGGUAUCUUUCAGAGUUUUUUAGAGCCCUGUAUGUGAAACUAUAUGGUAAUUUUAUUGGCCUCAAACCUAUACUUGCCUACGUUUUCCCAGCAGCUGUGGAGUCUCCCACUUUCUUCAACACCAUUUUUACUAGCUUUCCUUUCCUGUGUUUAAGAUUUGGCAAGCCUGUAAAAACCAGCUGUGUCCACUUACAGAAGGAUUGUUUAAAAAUACUUGCAAAAUUACCUAAUGUUAUCAGGUCUCCUCUAGCAGACAAAGUUUUGGACAUAAAGGCUCAGAAGAAACCAAUCACCAGUAUGUGGCCCUUGCUCACCAAAGAAUUAAAUGGAAGUUUUGCUGAAGAUAACAAGGUUAUAAUUACAAAGGAAUGUAAUGUAGUUGAAAUUGACUUUACAAAGGCUUUCCUUAUUUCCUGUAACAUGCCUUAUGCAGUUUACUGGCAUGAGCAGAUGGUGGAAAUUGUUAAUGUGAUAACAGAUGAAAUGAAGGAUUCUCUAGUGUCAAGAUAUAAUGAGUUUCUCUAUGCUAUCAUAUCAAGUGGGAAUAAACAUAACUUCACCUGGGUGAGUAUAAGCAAAUGUACAGUUCACAUGGUGGGACCCGACCUGGUGAAUGAUACACAGUUCCUGGAUGAAAUAUUCCACAGACUCUCAUCAGUUUAUAAUGGACACGUAGGGGAUAUUACAGUCUCAUCACAGAAACUAAAAGUUGCUAUGUUCACUGAUAUUCUGGAUGAAAUAAAGUUGAUCAAACCACUCUGUCUUGAAGAAAACAGGCAACCAGAGACUUUUCAAAGCGCAUGCGAGGAUAUUCUAAGAUAUUCACUCUGUCUUUGUAAACACUCAAAGGAAGACAUACUCUGGAAAAUUCUUCUGACCAUGUGGCAGCAAAGAAGAAAUACCUCUUUCUGGCUAAAAGAAACAAUGAAUAUAGAACAUCCCACCAUCCGGCCCAAAGGACUUUUCUUUACCAUAGCUCCUGCAUUUUAUCUCCACACAAAGCAUGGAAUGUCUUUUUGGAUGCAAGACAAACCCCUCCCAAGCUGCUUUGAUUAUACCCCUUAUAUCAUGGAACUGUGUGACAUACUACAACUGAAUGAUGAAGAAAGAGACAUGAUAUUGUCAAAUUAUGAAACUUUAUUAAAUUUAUCA